rnacentral:rRNA from 1 species
UGCCAGCCGCCGCGGUAAUACGGGGGGUGCAAGCGUUAUUCGGAAUUAUUGGGCGUAAAGGGCGCGCAGGCGGUCUUGUCCGUCAGGUGUGAAAGCUCGGGGCUCAACCCCGGAAGUGCACUUGAAACAGCAAGACUUGAAUACGGUAGAGGAGAGAGGAAUUCCUGGUGUAGAGGUGAAAUUCGUAGAUAUCAGGAGGAACGCCGGAGGCGAAAGCGGUUCUCUGGGCCGAUAUUGACGCUGAGGCGCGAAGGCGUGGGUAGCGAACGGGAUUAGAUA